AGAGUUUNGAUCCUGGCUCAGGAUGAACGCUGGCGGCGUGCCUAAUACAUGCAAGUCGAGCGAAUGGAUUGAGAGCUUGCUCUCAAGAAGUUAGCGGCGGACGGGUGAGUAACACGUGGGUAACCUGCCCAUAAGACUGGGAUAACUCCGGGAAACCGGGGCUAAUACCGGAUAACAUUUUGAACUGCAUGGUUCGAAAUUGAAAGGCGGCUUCGGCUGUCACUUAUGGAUGGACCCGCGUCGCAUUAGCUAGUUGGUGAGGUAACGGCUCACCAAGGCAACGAUGCGUAGCCGACCUGAGAGGGUGAUCGGCCACACUGGGACUGAGACACGGCCCAGACUCCUACGGGAGGCAGCAGUAGGGAAUCUUCCGCAAUGGACGAAAGUCUGACGGAGCAACGCCGCGUGAGUGAUGAAGGCUUUCGGGUCGUAAAACUCUGUUGUUAGGGAAGAACAAGUGCUAGUUGAAUAAGCUGGCACCUUGACGGUACCUAACCAGAAAGCCACGGCUAACUACGUGCCAGCAGCCGCGGGUAAU
rnacentral:rRNA from 2 species